rnacentral:rRNA from 1 species
AGUGAACGCUGGCGGUAGGCCUAACACAUGCAAGUCGAACGGCAGCACAGUAAGAGCUUGCUCUUACGGGUGGCGAGUGGCGGACGGGUGAGGAAUACAUCGGAAUCUACUUUUUCGUGGGGGAUAACGUAGGGAAACUUACGCUAAUACCGCAUACGACCUACGGGUGAAAGCAGGGGAUCUUCGGACCUUGCGCGAUUGAAUGAGCCGAUGUCGGAUUAGCUAGUUGGCGGGGUAAAGGCCCACCAAGGCGACGAUCCGUAGCUGGUCUGAGAGGAUGAUCAGCCACACUGGAACUGAGACACGGUCCAGACUCCUACGGGAGGCAGCAGUGGGGAAUAUUGGACAAUGGGCGCAAGCCUGAUCCAGCCAUACCGCGUGUGUGAAGAAGGCCUUCGGGUUGUAAAGCCCUUUUGUUGGGAAAGAAAAGAAGCAGGUUAAUACCCCGCUGUUCUGACGGUACCCAAAGAAUAAGCACCGGCUAACUUCGUG